rnacentral:misc_RNA from 1 species
AAGGAUCAUUAAAUGAAAAGCUGGUUUACCAGUAUACGGCCCCUGGGUUUGUUUCUGACAAGCGCCAGGAUCAGUCGUCAUUUAUACCCAUGUUUUUUGCGUACUACUUGUUUCCUUGGUAGGCUUGCCUACCAUUAGGACCACACAAAACCUUUUGUAAUUGCAGUCAGCGUCAGAAAUAACUUAAUAGUUACAACUUUCAACAACGGAUCUCUUGGUUCUG